UACGUAGGGGGCAAGCGCUGUCCGGAUUUAUUGGGCGUAAAGAGCGUGUAGGCGGCCGUACAGGUCAGCUGUGAAAACUCGAGGCUCAACCUCGAGACGUCGGUUGAAACCGUACGGCUAGAGUCCGGAAGAGGAGAGUGGAAUUCCCGGUGUAGCGAUGAAAUGCGCAGAUAUCGGGAAGAACACCCGUGGCGAAGGCGGCUCUCUGGGACGGUACUGACGCUGAGACGCGAAAGCGUGGGGAGCGAACAGG
rnacentral:rRNA from 1 species